rnacentral:misc_RNA from 1 species
GAUGAAGAACGGAGCGAAAUGCGAUACGUAGUGUGAAUUGCAGAAUUCAGUGAAUCAUCGAAUCUUUGAACGCACAUUGCACCUCUCGGUAUUCCGGGAGGUAUGCCUGUUCGAGCGUCAUUUGUACCCUCAAGCUCUGCUUCGUGUUGGGUGUUUGUUCCGCCUCUGUGUGUGAACUCGCCUCAAAACAAUUGGCAGCCGGCGUACUUGUUUCGGAGCGCAGCACAUUUUGCGAUCCAGAUCAACGUACAGCGGCAUCCAAGAAGCCUUAUUUAACGCUCUUGACCUCGGAUCAGGUAGGGAUACCCGCUGAACUUAAGCAUAUCAAUAAGCGGAGGA